rnacentral:rRNA from 1 species
UACAGAGGUCCCAAGCGUUGUUCGGAUUCACUGGGCGUAAAGGGUGCGUAGGUGGCGAGGUAAGUUUGAUGUGAAAUCUCCGAGCUCAACUCGGAAACUGCAUUGAAUACUAUCUUGCUCGAGGGUUGGAGGGAGACUGGAAUUCUCGGUGUAGCAGUGAAAUGCGUAGAUAUCGAGAGGAACACCAGUGGCGAAGGCGAGUCUCUAGACAACUCCUGACACUGAGGCACGAAAGCUAGGGGAGCAAACAGG